UGGGGAAUAUUGCACAAUGGGCGAAAGCCUGAUGCAGCAACGCCGCGUGAGGGACGACGGCCUUCGGGUUGUAAACCUCUUUUAGCAAGGAAGAAGCGAAAGUGACGGUACUUGCAGAAAAAGCGCCGGCUAACUACGUGCCAGCAGCCGCGGUAAUACGUAGGGCGCAAGCGUUAUCCGGAAUUAUUGGGCGUAAAGAGCUCGUAGGCGGUUUGUCGCGUCUGCUGUGAAAACCCGAGGCUCAACCUCGGGCCUGCAGUGGGUACGGGCAGACUAGAGUGCGGUAGGGGAGAUUGGAACUCCUGGUGCAGCGGUGGAAUGCGCAGAUAUCAGGAAGAACACCGAUGGCGAAGGCAGAUCUCUGGGCCGUAACUGACGCUGAGGAGCGAAAGGGUGGGGAGCAAACAGGCUUAGAUACCCUGGUAGUCCACCCCGUAAACGUUGGGAACUAGUUGUGGGUCCAUUCCACGGAUUCCGUGACGCAGCUAACGCAUUAAGUUCCCCGCCUGGGGAGUACGGCCGCAAGGCUAAAACUUAAAUGAAUUGACGGGGUCAUAGCUGUUUCCU
rnacentral:rRNA from 1 species